GACCGUUCAGCUCGCCUGUGGAGUAUUGAGACAGGAACGUGUGUGUUGCAAUAUGUAGGUCAUAGUGGAUCUGUCAAUUCUGUGCGAUUCCAUGCGAAAGAACCACUGGUCUUAACAGCCUCUGGUGAUAACACAGCUCAUGUAUGGAAGUCCACAGUCAGUCUGCCUGUUGCGUCGCAGAUAUCAGAGGGUAAUAGGUCAAAUCCAUCAAGUGGAGAUGACCUGGAUGGGUCAGAUAAAGAAGAUCAAGAUGGUAAG